rnacentral:misc_RNA from 1 species
CAAUGCAUUAACCCAUAUUUCAAUGGCAGGUUCUGAAUUUCCUCACGCAUAUCCACAAACGCCAAGUAUCGAUACUUCCGAAACGCUAUUUCAACGACGUAGCCGUUGCUUCUGCUUCCCAUCUUUCCGUUCUCCGAAUCAAUUGACAAAAUACGUUAAGUUUGACUGGUGGCAUAGGUUACGUAGCGGUGCGGUUAAGGAGGGAUCUGUAUGGGCUAAAGGAAUCAACGCUUUGAAGAAGCUUCGUGAAUGGUCGGAGAUCGUCGCCGGACCUAGAUGGAAGACUUUCAUCCGUCGGUUCCAUCGGAACAAAAGCGGUAAUAGGAAUGCGAAAUUCCAAUACGAUCCUUUGAGUUACUCACUGAACUUCGAUGAAGGACGAGGGAAUAACGGAGAAGAGGAGGAGGAAUUGGUACUUCGGAAUUUCUCGACGAGAUACGCAUCGAUUCCGGCGUCUAGUAACUUGGGCAAAGAUGGGCCCAGUUUCGUUUGAGUUGCAAACGCAAGUACUAUACUAUUUGACAGUGAUUGGACCGAACGAUAAAUUUAUCUUAUCGUCAAUCAUAAAUUAGUCUCAGCAUAUAAUUUCGAGACAAUUUAAUCCGCCUUACAGUUCAGUAGUGGGGCAAAGAAAACAACAGCUCAUCAUAAAAGAUAAGUAGGUGCGUGCAAGUUUUCUACUUUUUCUACCAACAAAAAAAAUAUUAUUGUGGUUGGUCUUAUUUGUCUAAUGUCUUUUUCUUUGUUGAAUUUAAUUUUCUUCUCUUGUCUCUACUUGUUUUUGUCUUUAAGCACUGUACAUACAAUAUCCAUUUUUUUGUGUGUGAUGAUUGCUGAG